rnacentral:rRNA from 1 species
GCCAGACUCCUACGGGAGGCAGCAGUGGGGAAUAUUGCACAAUGGGGGAAACCCUGAUGCAGCGACGCCGCGUGAGUGAAGAAGUAUUUCGGUAUGUAAAGCUCUAUCAGCAGGGAAGAAAAUGACGGUACCUGAUUAAGAAGCCCCGGCUAACUACGUGCCAGCAGCCGCGGUAAUACGUAGGGGGCAAGCGUUAUCCGGAUUUACUGGGUGUAAAGGGAGCGUAGACGGUGAUGCAAGUCAGAAGUGAAAGCCCGGGGCUCAACUCCGGGACUGCUUUUGAAACUGUGUGACUGGAGUGCAGGAGAGGUAAGCGGAAUUCCUGGUGUAGCGGUGAAAUGCGUAGAUAUCAGGAGGAACACCAGUGGCGAAGGCGGCUUACUGGACUGUAACUGACGUUGAGGCUCGAAAGCGUGGGGAGCAAACAGGAUUAGAUACCCGAGUAU